UAAACUAAUCACGGAAAUGCA
rnacentral:miRNA from 1 species